UGCCCUGCAGCUUCCUUAUAACUCUAAUUUCCAACGACUGAACAUCGACCAGUCCACACCUCUGCGUCGCAACAAAUUACGAGUAUUCAUCGAUCACUAUAUGUUGAGGUAGAGUUGUGGAAGAUGAUGGGCAGAAUGAGGAGGUUGGUCGUGCUGCUUGUUGUAGUGGCAGUGAUUAUGCGGUGUUGGUGGGGAGUGGUGGCCGAAACGCAGCAGCAGGAGGCGGUGUGGAGGAAUGAUGAUGAGGGUCAUCAUGUAGUCAAUCAUGAUGAAGAUAGUAAAACAUGGGAUGACGGUAAACACCAUCGCUGCUCGCUGGGGAACUAUAUGAGUGGUUCAUGUCCAGGGGAACACUGAUCACUCAUCAUCAUCCAUACAUACAUACAUUAACUAUCGAAGUAUACAGCUCUACGUAGAUACGUAUGUGUCUUCAAUAAUCACCAGAUUAUACAAACUCGCCUACUCUAUAUAUAUUUUGUAUAAUUUGUGUAACAUUUUUAUGUUUAGAGUUUAAUGUAAUAUAUAUGUGCGUGUGCUAUAUAUGUGAUGAAGGGUUGCCUU